GGAAUAUUGGGCAAUGGAGGAAACUCUGACCCAGCGACGCCGCGUGCGGGAUGAAGGCCUUCGGGUUGUAAACCGCUUUCAGUAGGGAAGAAGCGAAAGUGACGGUACCUACAGAAGAAGCACCGGCUAACUAUGUGCCAGCAGCCGCGGUAAUACAUAGGGUGCAAGCGUUGUCCGGAAUUAUUGGGCGUAAAGAGCUCGUAGGUGGUUCGUUACGUCGGAUGUGAAAAUCUGGGGCUCAACCCCAGACCUGCAUCCGAUACGGGCGAUCUAGAGUUUGGUAGGGGAGACUGGAAUUCCUGGUGUAGCGGUGGAAUGCGCAGAUAUCAGGAGGAACACCAAUGGCGAAGGCAGGUCUCUGGGCCAAUACUGACACUGAGGAGCGAAAGCGUGGGGAGCGAACAGGAUUAGAUACCCUGGUAGUCCACGCCGUAAACGGUGGGCGCUAGUUGUGGGAACCUUCCACGGUUUCUGCGACGCAGCUAACGCAUUAAGCGCCCCGCCUGGGGAGUACGAUCGCAAGAUUAAAACUCAAAGGAAUUGACGG
rnacentral:rRNA from 1 species